CUUCCGUAUCUUAACUCAAUAGGUAGAGCCUAAAGUCCUGAGGAAAAGCUCUGUGGACCUUCAUGUAGAAAACCUGAACAUAACCAACCGACACCACAGUGGUACGUCAAGACAUUUCUUUAUUGUGACACAGAAAUCUCAAACGCCAUCUGAUUCUUUACAUCUGUAUAAUCCUUUUUUCUUUUUAAGAUGCGUUUUUUUUUUUUCGAAGUUUCUGAUGUGCAGAGGUAAGACAGUAAAAGUUAAUGCAACCAUAAAUAAUUGUAAUAAAUAUCAAGUAAAUGUACAGCACACAUUUUCUCAUCGUAGCACGUCUGUGUAUGGAUAUGUCCUUUAUAUGAUCUCCCUCCCGGCCCCGUUAGGAGAAAGUAAGCGAGCAUCCCUGUUAGCAGCGGUAUACCUGGGGUACCCUUCAAAAUAAAAGACCCAAACAUUUUACCCUUCAAAAUAAAAGACCCAAACAUUUUAAAACUGGCAAGCAACUUAACCCCCUUCCCAACCCCCAACACAUGUUGAAUAGCAAUCAUUGGCUGUUUUUUUUAAGUUUUUUAGUUCUAUUCCGAGUAAAACAUGUUUGUCGGAGGAGAAGACCUGUCUGAGCACGAGACGGACAUCGGCCGAUGACGGGUCGCUUCAAGAGUUUGUAAAAAAAUACCCGCCCCCCCCUCCCGCUAAACAAACAGGACGUCAACAGACCCCCCAUCUGCUCCUUGUCGAAGAAGAAUUUCAUGGAAGAAUAGUGCAAAAAAAAAUCAUCAUCAGGUGAAGUGAAUAAGCAAUAAAUUAAUAAAAGCGCUUUCAAAACAUAAAACUAUGUACAUUUAUUUUCUCAGAAGUAUUUUUUUUUUUACAGUCUAAAUAAAAGUCUCAGGAAAACAAAAACAAACCAACACAACAAACCCAAGCAAAUGGCAAAGGCCUGUUCUCCUCAGACAUAAGAUGACCCACCCCAGGUAUAUAUAUAUAUAUAUAUAUAUAUACUCUGUGUGUUUAUGUAUAUGUGUUUGUGUAUGUGUAUGUGCAUAUGUGUGUACGUGUAUGUGUUACAGUGUGACACUGGAGAGGAGCCAGGGAUUCUGUGUUCCACAUUCAGUAGCAUAGCACACAAGCAGCUAUGGGGCGACACCUCCCCUCCCCGCCUUAUCAAAGCAACACAGGGGCUUCCAAAGGGAGAGCGGAGUCCGGACCCUGGGGACCGGGGGACAAGCUCAGUGAGGACCCCGCAAAGUCUGGAGACUGGGGGGACCGGGGGUCUCCCUCAGUGAGGACCCCCUCGUCGGACCGGACUGCGCUGCCAGAUAUUUCUAAACCAACCUGACAAACUGGAGAGAAAAGUCAAUAAAUAUGCCUCAUAAUUUUAAUUUAAAACUAAAUACCAUUUUCUUCAGAGACUAAAAUAGGGUCACGGAUUAUAUCAGCAGAUGAGUUGGAUUUCCCGUUGGUGGUUCGUCUUCCGUUUUCUUGUGACGGUCGGUGUCACGUUGUCCUUCUGUACUCAGAGUGGGCGUCUCUGGCUCUACCACUUCACCAGUUCCUCGAGCAUGACUAGAGCGACCGCCGUCACAGCAUGGAGGGUAUUUCUGACAAACACACACGCUGACACACACACUUCCAGUGUCCUCCUCUCUGGCGAGAAGUACAAGGGGUAAAGGCUCGUCUCACAGGAGGGCAGAGGGAGGCAGCGAGGUUGAAGCAUUCGCAGAUUAAAGCAAGCUGUAUCGUUUCCUGGAGCACCGCGCAAAUUCAAAGAGAGAGAGAGAGAGUGAGCAGAGAGAGACAGCAGAGAGAGAGAGUGCAGAGAGAGAGAGAGAGAGAGAGAGAGAGAGAGAGAGAGAGAGAGAGAGAGAGAGAGAGAGAGAGAGCAGAGAGUGCAGAGAGAGCAGAGAGAGCGAGAGCGAGAAAGAGUCCACUUGCCAGUGGACGUACAUUUUUAAAGUGCCUACAGAGCUCAACAUAACCUUGUAGUGCUCAACCUUGUCAGGCAGUGGGGGACCCUAGCCUGCAUGAAGGAGGGAUAGUAUCAGGGAAGCUUCUAUCCGGAAAAAAAAAAGAAAUAUCAAAGUAAUAUCGGAAAUACUUUUAGUAGUACUGCACCGUGUCACAGUUUCAAACCCUUGUGGUGGCUACUUCAAUACUAAGUGCAACCAGAACACAGAAACACACACACACACACACACACACGCGCACACACCCAUCGAUCAAAGUCAGCCGUGUCUGACCCUCACCUGGGGAUUCCCCUCCAGCAAAAGGUUGGAACGCCUAAAAGAUGCAAAAACAGUCGAUGGGGACGGCGCAGAAUGGAAGGGAACAAAAACAAAGCAAAAACAUGUCAGAGCAUCGGGGCAGCAGCCACGAGCGGUCUGCCAGGGGGGAGGGGUCGGACCUAAGGUAGUGGGAGGGGGCGGGGCCAGGGCCUAGCCACUGAGCGGAUCCUCGCGGUAGUGGAUGGCGUAGCGCAGCUUCUCCAGCAUGGCCUCCAGCGACGUGUACUGGGGCAGCUUCACCAUGAACAUGCACGUCUCCACCCGGAUGUAGCGCGAGUCUGGCGAGCCUGCACCAGACACACAUGCACACACACACACACACACACACACACACACACACACACACACACACACACACACACACACACACACACACACACACACACACACACACACAGUAAAAUUAGGAAAUGUGAUUAGGAUGACAGCAUUCAUGUCCGUUCAUGUACCCACACUCUUCCCCAUGUUGGCUGUACUUAGCAGGCAGACAUGGUCGGUAAUAUGUGCUGAACGAGAUGAGCCUGGCUAUCAUUCGAUAAAUCUGGAUCCUUCUCGCUCUUGUUUCACCUCCUUGUAUAAUACUCGAUGUGUGAAGGCCUUGAUUCAUUCACUCCACUGACAGACACAGCGCGGAGAAAACACUGAGGAACUUUUGUGAGCUCAAUGAAAUCGUUUUAUCAUGAUUUGCGACUUAGGUUAUUCAAUAAAGUCCAUCUAAAAUAAGUUCAUUGUAUGCGUGACACAGAUAUGUUAGCUUGGCUAUUCAAAUAUAGAACAUUUGUGAUUGCUGACUGCAUGGAAAAGGCGUGGGCUAGGAGGAAUAUGUCAAUUUAUAUUUAGUGUGUUUAUCCGGUGUCGGAUGUGUUGUAUUGUAUUGUGAUUGUGUAUGUACUACACUCUUUGUUUA
ensembl:lncRNA